rnacentral:lncRNA from 1 species
CUGAGUCCAAUUUCACGGGCCGUUUCCAAUCAACCUGCGAAAUUUCGGCCCAUUCCGACAACGUCGCUAAAGAUGACAAAAUAGCCCUUGGUGCGGUUUUUCUUUGUUAAUUUACUGUCCAACAUUUCUUCAACCAGACAUAAUUAGUAAGGAAAUUAAUCAUUCGGAAGCCCAAACGAAUGAAUUUAGCUAAAAUCCCGUUAGCCCGGGUUUGC